UACGGGGGGGGCAAGCGUUGUUCGGAAUUACUGGGCGUAAAGGGCUCGUAGGUGGCCAACUAAGUCAGACGUGAAAUCCCCAGGCUCAACUUGGGAACUGCGUCUGAUACUGGAUGGCUUGAAUUCGGGAGAGGGAUGCAGAAUUCCAGGUGUAGCGGUGAAAUGCGUAGAUAUCGGGAGGAACACCAGUGGCGAAGGCGGCUUUCUGGUCUGCUCUUGACGCUGAGGCGCGAAAGCUAGGGUAGCAAACGGG
rnacentral:rRNA from 1 species